GUGACCGGGGCGCACCUGAAUGCAGCCACGCCGCGUGAUUAUGAGGCUCCGGGCUUAUACCCUUCGUCGGGACAAAUCCUGCCUGCUAAUACCCCUUUGCCUGACCGUAACCUAACAAUAAGCCCCCGCUUCCUUCCUGCCCCGCCCCGGUAAAGAACAGCCAGCUCCGAGUUAUAAAGGGCCCCCCGGUCCUUCUAUAACCGGGGUGGGUCCCCCUGGGGGAGACACCCCCACCCACCUUCCUCAAAUUCCGGGCUGCCCUCCUCAACCUUAAACUAACCCUCCGCUCCCCCAUGCCCGGGGAAUUAUAACGGUGAAGCUCUCAUUGGCUCCCCUGUCUAAUUGUCGUAGGCGUGGACACGGGUGAGUCUCGCUC
rnacentral:rRNA from 1 species